rnacentral:tRNA from 1 species
GCGGCUAUGGCGGAACUGGCAGACGCACAAGAUUUAGGAUCUUGCGGAGCAAUCCAUGGAGGUUCGAGCCCUCUUAGCCGCACCA